GGGUUCCCGUAGGUGACCUGCGGAAGGAUCAUUGUCGAAACCUGCCCAGCAGAACGACCCGCGAACAAGUUGUUGCACAACGGGGAUGUCCCGGGCCUUUGGCCCGGUUCUCCCCUCGGGGAUGGGGUGUGGGUCGACGGCCUCGUGCUGUGGUCUGCGGUCCGUCCCUGUACAAACAAACCCCGGCGCUAUAUGCGCCAAGGAUUUCGUUCUGAAAUAAGAAAGGACAUUCGCCCGUAGCACGGGUGGGUUGCUCCUCUCGGAUUAAACAAAACGACUCUCGGCAACGGAUAUCUCGGCUCUCGCAUCGAUGAAGAACGUAGCGAAAUGCGAUACUUGGUGUGAAUUGCAGAAUCCCGUGAACCAUCGAGUCUUUGAACGCAAGUUGCGCCCGAAGCCUUCGGGCCGAGGGCACGUCUGCCUGGGUGUCAUAUGCAUUGUUGCCCCAACCCGAUCAUUUCCUGAGGGAGAGGCGGGGUAGGGGCGGAGAUUGGUCUCCCGUGCGCUUCCGCUCGCGGUUGGCCCAAAUACGAGUUGUCGGCUGCGUGUGCCACAGCAAGCGGUGGUUGGAACGACCCUCGAUGGUUGUUGUGGGCAGAACACGCGUCAGGUUUGGCUCUUAGGCCCUUUUAUCACAACAGCGACCCCAGGUCAGGCGGGAACACCCGCUGAGUUUAAGC
rnacentral:rRNA from 1 species